ACCGUGCAAAGGUAGCAUAAUCAUUAGUUUUUUAAUUGAAAGCUGGAAUGAAUGGUUGGACGAGAAAAUUACUGUCUCAAUUUAAAUUUUGAUAGAAUUUUAUUUUUAAGUAAGAAAGCUUAAAUAAAUUUAAAAGACGAGAAGACCCUAUAGAGUUUUAUAUUUUUUAGAAUUUAAAUUAAUAGAAUUAUAAGAUUUGUAUUUUAAAAAUUAUUUUAUUGGGGUGAUAGAGAAAUUAAAUGAACUUUUUUUUAUUUUUAACAUUAAUAUGUGAAUAUUUGAUCCGUUAUUUUACGAUUACAAGAUUAAAUUACCUUAGGGAUAACAGCGUAAUUUUUUUUGAGAGUUCAUAUCGAAAAAAGAGUUU
rnacentral:rRNA from 1 species